ACACGUGUUAUGUAUCUGUAUUGUAUGGUCGUAUGUGUUUUGUAGUUAAGUCGUGAGAGUUGCGUCCCUUUGUAUGAUAAUGAUGCAUAUUUGUCAUGUGAUGUUAUCUGGCUCUUUGAAAUAAACGUGCUAUGGAAAUAGAUGUGUUUUUAUUGCUCUUAAGCAAAUAUAACUUUAGCGGCAUGGGGAGGCAAGUAUAUGUCCCCCUAUGUACGUAAUAC
rnacentral:lncRNA from 1 species